GGCCGAGGCGGUCUGCGAGAGCGCUAGGAAGACCACGAGCACGGCCAGAGAACGCAGUGCCAUUGUGACUGCCCCUGGACUAGAGCUGCUUCUUGGAAAUGAGUUUACAAAGUGAAGGGCGGUUGGUGUACGGCAAAGAUAAAAUCUGUUUCAAAAAGUACUUUUUUAGAGAAAUGUUAUAAUUUUUAGAAAAUGUAAGUAUUGUUAAAUAAGUGUUCCAAUUUCAAUGAAAAUGUUAACUUUCAUUAAUAAAGAAAAUUUGCACGUUUAACCUUAUCAUCGACGUUUAGUAAAAUUGAACAUCAAUGGCCC
rnacentral:lncRNA from 1 species